GGCCGCCUGGCGAAAUGGCAUCGCGUCUGACUACGAUUUCGUAAAGUUAUCAGGAGAUUGCAGGUUCGACCCCUGCGGUGGUCA